rnacentral:misc_RNA from 1 species
AACGCACAUUGCGCCCCUUGGUAUUCCGAGGGGCAUGCCUGUUCGAGCGUCAUUUAACCUAAUCAAGCCUCGCUUGGUAUUGGGCCAUCGCCCCCUCUUCUCACGAGGGGAGGGCGUGCCUCAAAGUCGACCCGGCGAGUGUCAGAUCGACCCUGGGCGUAGUAGAAUCAAUUCGAUAACGUCGUAAGGGUAGUUCGGGCCUCCGCCGUCGAAAUACCGUCCCCUCUCCCGGGGACGGGACCACCAUUUCUCAAGGUUGACCUCGGAUCAGGUAGGGAUACCCGCUGAACUUAA